rnacentral:rRNA from 1 species
UACAGAGGGUGCGAGCGUUAAUCGGAAUUACUGGGCGUAAAGCGCGCGUAGGCGGCUUUUCAAGUCGAUUGUGAAAUCCCCGGGCUUAACCUGGGAACUGCAGUCGAGACUGUCUAGCUAGAGUAUGGGAGAGGGAAGUGGAAUUUCAGGUGUAGCGGUGAAAUGCGUAGAUAUCUGAAGGAACAUCAGUGGCGAAAGCGACUUCCUGGACCAAUACUGACGCUGAGACACGAAAGCGUGGGGAGCAAACAGG